UGCGACGUCCUCGUCGCAACUGAAUUGAUUACAAUUGCUAACCAGGACCGGAUCCUUAGGUAUUGUGGUUUAAGGGUGAGCAGUAUUCGGUUAAAACCGAAAAAACUGACCGAACCGAACCGAUUUGAAAAUUUGGUUCGGUUUUUUAUAUAUUUCGGUUCGGUUCGGUUUUUAAUUUCAAAAAUUUCGGUUAUUUCGGUUCGGUUCGGUUCGGUUUUAAUCAGAAAAAAACCAAAAAAACCGAACCGAACCGAUUAGUAAUAAUAAUAUAUUUUUUC
rnacentral:lncRNA from 1 species